GGUGCCAGAUCUAUGGCUUUUCCCUAAUGUGUCCG
rnacentral:rRNA from 1 species